GAUUGUGGCUUAGAGGUAGAGCACUCGCCUCGCAAAUGCGAAGCCCUGGGUUCGAUCCUCAGCACCA
rnacentral:tRNA from 1 species